GGCUGGUCCAAGUGCAGUGGUGUUUACAACUGAUUGAUCACAACCAGUUACAGACUUUGUUUCUUCUCCAGUCCUACUGCUUCACUUGACUAGCCUUUU
ensembl:misc_RNA Y_RNA Y RNA